CAACAACACAGAGAACAAGCAGCAUAAGACCAAACACCUAUAAAAACAACAAUAAUGGUAACUUCCCCGUGGAAUCUCUGUCCUUCACUGCAGUGACCCACCUCCCGUUCCCCAAAGCAGCAGCAAACGCAUCUUCCCAACUUGCUUCUGGCUUCUAAAUCUAUGUGUCAUGUGGGACAGCAGACAGUGCUUUCAUCCUCAAUGACAACCCCUCGGCUCCUGAAGGACUGUCUAAGCAAUGAUAUUGGCCCAGAGAACAGUCAACGUUUCUAGAAACAAGCCUAUCGGGGGAAAAAGAAAUAGAGCUGCUCUCCUCUGAAGCUCUGAAUGGGAAAGACAUUCCAAACAGAAGAAAGUGCAGAGUUCCUGUUACAGCCUUACCACAAUGUGGUGCACGCCACGUCUACUGUAAGACCUGAAAUUUGUUAAUAAUCCUCCUACUUACUCCUCCGGCCAGCGUCCCCGUGUUGGUCCCCAGGAUUACUGCACACAGGCAGACGAUGAGGAGGAACACCGCCGCGAUCACCGAGUUGAAAACAUCCUGAAACAGCCAGUGGGAGCAGAGGGUUUAUUCUGAAAUACAGCCCUGAAGGAGAACGUGAGUAGCUCCCGAUAUUGUACAAAUCCUUAAAAGUUGCUGGUUUAGGAUGAAAACAGAAAUCCACCCAUAUCCACGCAGGAUCCAUAGUGACACCCAGCGGUGUGAUGCUAGAAAGGUUGUCAUAAAACUUCC